ACUACGGGGUGCAGCAGUGGGGGAUAUUGCACAAUGGGGGAAACCCUGAUGCAGCGACGCCGCGUGAGUGAAGAAGUAUUUCGGGAUGUAAAGCUCUAGCAGCAGGGAAGAAAAUGACAGUACCUGACCAAGAAGCCCCGGCUAACUACGGGCGAGACGCCGUGGGAAUACGGAGGGGGCAAGCGUUAUCCGGAUUUACUGGGUGUAAAGGGAGCGUAGCAGGUUAUGUAAGUCUGGAGUGAAAGCCCGGGGCCCAACCCCGGGACUGCUUUGGCAACGGUGUAACUGGAGUACAGGAGGGGCAGGCGGAAUUCCUGGUGUAGCGGUGCACUGCGUAGCUAUCAGGCGGACCCCCGGCGGCGAAGGCGGCCUGCUGGACUGCACCUGACGUUGAGGCUCG
rnacentral:rRNA from 1 species